rnacentral:lncRNA from 1 species
AACAAGCAGCAGCUGCUGGGGAGCAGGAGAUUAUUUAGGUGGGCUUCCAGGGGCAUCCUGUAACUGUAGGGUUGAGCUUGUGGGGGCUCUGCUUGGGGUUGUUUGCUGCCUUUGGAUGGGGCUCCUGUCCUGGCUCUCUCUGUCAGAUCUCACUUAGCUACCAGUCCACCCUUGGAUUAUGGGAACUGGUGAGGCCAAGCAUUGGGAAGACACCUUGUCCCUCCUCAGCUUUGCUUCACCACGUGGUGCCAGAUAGGAAGCCUGUUUAGCGAUGUCACUUGUUCCUGCCUUCCCUGGGUGAGGGUGCUCUGUGUGCAAAUGGACAAACACUUCCAUUUGCAAAGGUUCACCAUGUGUUGUAAGCAGAGAAGAGCCAAAGCUUUGGACACUGUCUAUGAAUCUGUGUUGCCACAGAAGUCACUUCUGUCUGCAUGUGCAGCAGUUACACUUCUAACUCAGCUGUCAGAUCUUUCAGAUAUUAUUAACCACUGUGGAAAGCAUAAUGUUCACAGCAGUAUACAUGAACUUUUAUGGGAUCAAAUCCAUUUGCAAUUCUGGAUCCAAAACCUCUCCUGAAAUUGGACUGCUGCCUCAAUAGAGUGGGCAAGAAUGUAGGCGUAUUCAGCAAGCAGCUGCCACCCUGGGGUGGUGAUCCUGGUUUUGGCCUCAGACACAGUGCAAAUGAUGGUAUACUUUAAAAGAUUGUUGUAUGGUCUGUCACUGUUUAGGACAUAUAUCUUGGAAAAAAUCUUGUUAGGCUUGGAGACUUUAAGAUUAGGCAUAAAGCUUUCAGUCAAGAUCUUGUGUAUUUGACCUUCACACUUGUCUUUCACAGCUGUCAGUACAGCAAAGUCAAAAGACUUAAACUGAGCACAGCUCUAGCUGUAUCUAGAGAUGCAGGUAGGGGCAGACUUAAGGAAACAUCUCAGCUCACUUUCUGAAGGGGCGCACUCAUGGCCACCAAAACCAAGAGCAUAGGAUGAUUGAUUCUGCAUCAGUCAAAGCCUGCCUGUAUAGAUAUACCUGUCUACUUGAUCACAAUGUUUAGCACUGAAAGCCAAGUUUAGAAGCCUAUCUGGAGGUUUACAUUACUUGCUGAGCCAAUGCUUUGGCUUGAAAGGACCUCACUAUGCCUGGCAUCUUCCACAAGCACUAAAUUAACACACAAAUACUGAAGAAGGAUGUAAAAAUCAAAACUCUGAAUAUGAUACAGUGAUUUUAUAGAGUUCUGCAUUGCCUUAAAUCCAC